rnacentral:rRNA from 1 species
UGGGGAAUUUUGGACAAUGGGGGCAACCCUGAUCCAGCAAUGCCGCGUGUGUGAAGAAGGCCUUCGGGUUGUAAAGCACUUUUGUCCGGAAAGAAAACGCCGUGGUUAAUACCCGUGGCGUAUGACGGUACCGGAAGAAUAAGCACCGGCUAACUACGUGCCAGCAGCCGCGGUAAUACGUAGGGUGCAAGCGUUAAUCGGAAUUACUGGGCGUAAAGCGUGCGCAGGCGGUCCGCUAAGACAGAUGUGAAAUCCCCGGGCUUAACCUGGGAACUGCAUUUGUGACUGGCGGGCUAGAGUAUGGCAGAGGGGGGUAGAAUUCCACGUGUAGCAGUGAAAUGCGUAGAGAUGUGGAGGAAUACCGAUGGCGAAGGCAGCCCCCUGGGCCAAUACUGACGCUCAUGCACGAAAGCGUGGGGGAGCAAACAGGAUUCAGAUACCCUGGUAGUCCACGCCCUAAACGAUGUCAACUA